rnacentral:rRNA from 1 species
AGAGUUUGAUCCUGGCUCAGGAUGAACGCUAGCGACAGGCUUAACACAUGCAAGUCGAGGGGCAGCACAGGUAGCAAUACCGGGUGGCGACCGGCGCACGGGUGAGUAACGCGUAUGCAACUUGCCUAUCAGAGGGGGAUAACCCGGCGAAAGUCGGACUAAUACCGCAUGAAGCAGGGGUCCCGCAUGGGGAUAUUUGCUAAAGAUUCAUCGCUGAUAGAUAGGCAUGCGUUCCAUUAGGCAGUUGGCGGGGUAACGGCCCACCAAACCGACGAUGGAUAGGGGUUCUGAGAGGAAGGUCCCCCACAUUGGUACUGAGACACGGACCAAACUCCUACGGGAGGCAGCAGUGAGGAAUAUUGGUCAAUGGGCGUAAGCCUGAACCAGCCAAGUCGCGUGAGGGAUGAAGGUUCUAUGGAUCGUAAACCUCUUUUAUAAGGGAAUAAAGUGCGGGACGUGUCCUGUUUUGUAUGUACCUUAUGAAUAAGGAUCGGCUAACUCCGUGCCAGCAGCCGCGGUAAUACGGAGGAUCCGAGCGUUAUCCGGAUUUAUUGGGUUUAAAGGGUGCGUAGGCGGCCUUUUAAGUCAGCGGUGAAAGUCUGUGGCUCAACCAUAGAAUUGCCGUUGAAACUGGGGGGCUUGAGUAUGUUUGAGGCAGGCGGAAUGCGUGGUGUAGCGGUGAAAUGCUUAGAUAUCACGCAGAACCCCGAUUGCGAAGGCAGCCUGCCAAGCCAUGACUGACGCUGAUGCACGAAAGCGUGGGGAUCAAACAGGAUUAGAUACCCUGGUAGUCCACGCAGUAAACGAUGAUCACUAGCUGUUUGCGAUACAGUGUAAGCGGCACAGCGAAAGCGUUAAGUGAUCCACCUGGGGAGUACGCCGGCAACGGUGAAACUCAAAGGAAUUGACGGGGGCCCGCACAAGCGGAGGAACAUGUGGUUUAAUUCGAUGAUACGCGAGGAACCUUACCCGGGCUUAAAUUGCAGAUGAAUUACGGUGAAAGCCGUAAGCCGCAAGGCAUCUGUGAAGGUGCUGCAUGGUUGUCGUCAGCUCGUGCCGUGAGGUGUCGGCUUAAGUGCCAUAACGAGCGCAACCCUUGCCACUAGUUACUAACAGGUAAAGCUGAGGACUCUGGUGGGACUGCCAGCGUAAGCUGCGAGGAAGGCGGGGAUGACGUCAAAUCAGCACGGCCCUUACAUCCGGGGCGACACACGUGUUACAAUGGCGUGGACAAAGGGAAGCCACCUGGCGACAGGGAGCGAAUCCCCAAACCACGUCUCAGUUCGGAUCGGAGUCUGCAACCCGACUCCGUGAAGCUGGAUUCGCUAGUAAUCGCGCAUCAGCCAUGGCGCGGUGAAUACGUUCCCGGGCCUUGUACACACCGCCCGUCAAGCCAUGGGAGCCGGGGGUACCUGAAGUGCGUAACCGCGAGGAGCGCCCUAGGGUAAAACUGGUGACUGGGGCUAAGUCGUAACAAGGUAGCCGUACCGGAAGGUGCGGCUG